rnacentral:rRNA from 1 species
CCGGCACGGGUGAGUAACACGUAUCCAACCUGCCGUCUACUCUUGGCCAGCCCUCUGAAAGGAAGAUUAAUCCAGGAUGGCAUCAUGAGUUCACAUGUCCGCAUGAUUAAAGGUAUUUUCCGGUAGACGAUGGGGAUGCGUUCCAUUAGAUAGUAGGCGGGGUAACGGCCCACCUAGUCAACGAUGGAUAGGGGUUCUGAGAGGAAGGUCCCCCACAUUGGAACUGAGACACGGUCCAA